CAGCUAUUAUACCAAUUUUAUAUGAGUGAGUGAUGAGUGAGUUAAAAUUUUAAGUCACAUCGGCAGUAUUUCAGCAAUAUCGUGACUAUGAGUGUCAAAAAUAAACUCAGGCAAUGUAAACAUCUGUCAACGAAGGACUGUAAAAUAUCUAGA